UAGGGAAUUUUUCACAAUGAGCGAAAGCUUGAUGGAGCAAUGCCGCGUGAACGAUGAAGGUCUUUAAGAUUGUAAAGUUCUUUUAUUUGGGAAGAAUGACUUUAGCAGGUAAUGGCUAGAGUUUGACUGUACCAUUUUGAAUAAGUGACGACUAACUAUGUGCCAGCAGUCGCGGUAAUACAUAGGUCGCAAGCGUUAUCCGGAUUUAUUGGGCGUAAAGCAAGCGCAGGCGGAUUGAAAAGUCUGGUGUUAAAGGCAGCUGCUUAACAGUUGUAUGCAUUGGAAACUAUUAAUCUAGAGUGUGGUAGGGAGUUUUGGAAUUUCAUGUGGAGCGGUGAAAUGCGUAGAUAUAUGAAGGAACACCAGUGGCGAAGGCGAAAACUUAGGCCAUUACUGACGCUUAGGCUUGAAAGUGUGGGGAGCAAAUAGGAUUAGAUACCCUAGUAGUCCACACCGUAAACGAUAGAUACUAGCUGUCGGGGCGAUCCCCUCGGUAGUGAAGUUAACACAUUAAGUAUCUCGCCUGGGUAGUACAUUCGCAAGAAUG
rnacentral:rRNA from 1 species